rnacentral:rRNA from 1 species
UGCUCUCUGAUUAUUAUUUAAGGGCCGCGGUAAUUUGACCGUGCAAAGGUAGCAUAAUAGUUAGUUUUUUAAUUGGAAUCUUGUAUGAAUGGUUGAACAAAAGAAAUACUGUCUCUAUGAUUUUCAUUGAAUUUAACUUUUAAGUGAAAAGGCUUAAAUUAAUUAAAAAGACGAUAAGACCCUAUAAAGCUUUAUAGGUAAAUUUAUUAAAAUUGAGUUGUUAAUAAAGUUUUAAUAGAUUAUACUAUUUUGUUGGGGAGACAAUAUUAUAAUUGUAAGUAACUGUGGGUAAAUAAUACAAUUAUAGGUGUAUAAAUACAAUAAAAGAUCUUGUUAUAUAAAUUAAAAGAUUAAGUUACUUUAGGGAUAACAGCGUUAUUUUUUUUGAGAGUUCAUAUCGAAAAAAAAGAUUGCGACCUCGAUGUUGAAUUAAAAUUUCUAAAUAAUUGUAGCAGUUAUUUGAGAAGGUCUGUUCGACCUUUAAAUUUUUA